rnacentral:rRNA from 1 species
CACGUAGGGCGCGAGCGUUGUCCGGAUUUAUUGGGCGUAAAGGGCGCGCAGGCGGCCACGCACGUCCGUUGUGAAAUCGCCCGGCUCAACUGGGCGGGGUCAGCGGAUACGGCGUGGCUGGAGCAAGCUAGGGGGCAAUGGAAUUCCCGGUGUAGUGGUGGAAUGCGUAGAUAUCGGGAGGAACACCAGUGGCGAAGGCGGUUGCCUGGAGCUUUGCUGACGCUGAGGCGCGAAAGCGUGGGGAGCGAUCCGG